rnacentral:rRNA from 1 species
CCUACGGGAGGCUGCAGUGAGGAAUAUUGGUCAAUGGACGAGAGUCUGACCCAGCCAAGUAGCGUGAAGGAUGACUGCCCUAUGGGUUGUAAACUUCUUUUAUAUGGGAAUAAAACGUUCCACGUGUGGGAUUUUGUAUGUACCAUAUGAAUAAGGAUCGGCUAACUCCGUGCCAGCAGCCGCGGUAAUACGGAGGAUCCGAGCGUUAUCCGGAUUUAUUGGGUUUAAAGGGUGCGUAGGUGGAUUGUUAAGUCAGUUGUGAAAGUUUGCGGCUCAACCGUAAAAUUGCAGUUGUAACUGGCAGUCUUGAGUACAGUAGAGGUGGGUGGAAUUCGUGGUGUAGCGGUGAAAUGCUUAGAGAUCACGAAGAACUCUGAUGGCGAAGGCAGUUCACUGGACUGCAACUGACACUGAGGCUCGAAAGUGUGGGUAUCAAACAGGAUUAGAUACCCUUGUAGUC